UACGUAGGUGGCAAGCGUUGUCCGGAAUUAUUGGGCGUAAAGCGCGCGCAGGUGGUUAUAUAAGUCUGAUUUUAAAGUUCGGGGCUCAACCCCGUGAUGGAUUAGAAACUGUAUGACUUGAGUACAGUAGAGGUAAGCGGAAUUCCCAGUGUAGCGGUGAAAUGCGUAGAUAUUGGGAGGAACACCAGUGGCGAAGGCGGCUUACUGGGCUGUAACUGACACUGAGGCGCGAAAGCUAGGGGAGCAAACGGGAUUAGAUACCCCGGUAGUCCUAGCUGUAAACGAUGGGUACUAGGUGUAGGUAUCGGAAGGUAUCUGUGCCGGAGUUAACGCAAUAAGUACCCCGCCUGGGGAGUACGGCCGCAAGGUUG
rnacentral:rRNA from 1 species